CCCUUAGAUGUUCUGGGCCGCACGCGCGCUACACUGACGAUGGCAACGAGUUUUUCCUUCGCCGAAAGGUGUGGGUAAUCUUUUGAAACAUCGUCGUGCUGGGGAUAGAUCAUUGCAAUUUUUGAUCUUGAACGAGGAAUUCCUAGUAAGCGCGAGUCAUCAGCUCGCGUUGAUUACGUCCCUGCCCUUUGUACACACCGCCCGUCGCUACUACCGAUUGAAUGGUUUAGUGAGGACUCCUGAUUGGCGCCGCCUCCCCGGCAACGGAGCAGCGGACUGCCGAAAAGUUGUUCAAACUUGAUCAUUUAGAGGAAGUAAAAGUCGUAACA
rnacentral:rRNA from 1 species